CCCUGUUGAGCUUGACUCUAGUCUGGCAUUGUGAAAAGACAUAGGAGGUGUAGAAUAGGUGGGAGCUUCGGCGCCGGUGAAAUACCACUACUCCUAUUGUUUUUUUACUUAUUCAAUGAAGCGGCGCUGGAUUUACGUCCAACUUCUGGUUUUAAGGACCUUCGCGGGCCGAGCCAGGUUGAAUAUAUUGUCAGGUGGGGAGUUUGGCUGGGGCGGCACAUCUGUUAUACCAUAACGCAUGUGUCCUACUGGGGGCUCAUGGAGAACAGAAAUCUCCAGUAGAACAAAAGGGUAAAACUCCCCUUGAUUUCGAUUUUCAGUGUGAAUACAAAACAUGAAA
rnacentral:rRNA from 1 species